rnacentral:rRNA from 1 species
GAAUUGCGAAAAUUGUUGCGAAUCGCAGCCCGUGAGUCAUCGAGUCUUUGAACGCAUAUUGCACCUUUUCUUUGGAAAAGGUAUGCCUGUUUGAGCUUUAGUU